ACGGGUGAGUAACACAUAGGAAUCUACCAAGCAGUACGGAAUAACUUUUGGAAACGAAAGCUAAUACCGUAUACAGCUGAGAAGUGAAAGAUUUAUCGCUGUUUGAUGAGCCUAUGCAGGAUUAGCUAGUUGGUGGGGUAAUGGCCCACCAAGGCGAUGAUCCUUAGCUGGUCUGAGAGGAUGAACAGCCACACUGGAACUGAGACACGGUCCAGACUCCUACGGGAGGCAGCAGUGGGGAAUUUUGGACAAUGGGCGAAAGCCUGAUCCAGCGACGCCGCGUGAGUGAUGAAGGCCUUCGGGUUGUAAAGCUCUUUCAGUAGGGAAGAUAGUGACGGUACCUACAGAAGAAGCCCCGGCCAACUUCGUGCCAGCAGCCGCGGUAAUACGAAGGGGGCUAGCGUUACCCGGAAUCACUGGGCGUAAAGAGUGCGUAGGCGGUCUGGAAAGUUGGAAGUGAAAGCCCAGGGCUCAACCUUGGAAUUGCUUUCAAAACUAUCAGACUAGAGUGUCAUAGGGGAUGACGGAAUUCCUAGUGUAGAGGUGAAAUUCGUAGA
rnacentral:rRNA from 1 species